rnacentral:rRNA from 1 species
GUGUCAGCAGCCGCGGUAAUACAGAGGGUGCGAGCGUUGUUCGGAAUUACUGGGCGUAAAGCGCGCGCAGGCGGCUCUUUAAGUCCACUGGUCAAAUGCCGGGGCUCAACCCCGUGCCCGCCAGGGAUACUGGAGAGCUGGAGACAUGUAGAGGCAAGCGGAAUUCCGGGUGUAGCGGUGGAAUGCGUAGAGAUCCGGAAGAACACCGGAGGCGAAGGCGGCUUGCUGGGCAUGGUCUGACGCUGAGGCGCGAAAGCGUGGGGAGCGAACAGGAUUAGAAACCCCUGUAGUCC